AGGGGUAUAGCUCAGUUGGUAGAGCAUCGGUCUCCAAAACCGAGUGUCCCGAGUUCAAAUCUUGGUGCCCCUGCCA
rnacentral:tRNA from 1 species